GGUGUGUUGGCUCAGUCAGUAGAGCGUUCGCCUCGCAACCGGGAGGUCGUGGGUUCGAACCCCGGCCGCGUCA
rnacentral:tRNA from 1 species